ensembl:snoRNA SNORA71 Small nucleolar RNA SNORA71
ACCUGCAUUGAAAAGCGAUCACGGGCUGCCUGUGCCCUGGUCAUCGAUAAUGUAGGGAGAGGAAUUGUGGAAAGCAGUUUCCCGUGUUUGGAGGGUCCAUACCCAUCCCUUUCAAAUGCUGACGCUUUCACACA